UACGAAGGGGGCUAGCGUUGUUCGGAUUUACUGGGCGUAAAGCGCACGUAGGCGGCCUGUUAAGUCAGAGGUGAAAGCCUGGAGCUCAACUCCAGAACUGCCUUUGAUACUGGCAAGCUCGAGUAUGGCAGAGGUUGGUGGAACUCCGAGUGUAGAGGUGAAAUUCGUAGAUAUUCGGAAGAACACCAGUGGCGAAGGCGGCCAACUGGGCCAUUACUGACGCUGAGGUGCGAAAGCGUGGGGAGCAAACAGG
rnacentral:rRNA from 1 species